rnacentral:rRNA from 1 species
UAAGUGCCCCGCCUGGGGAGUACGGCCGCAAGGCUAAAACUCAAAGGAAUUGACGGGGGCCCGCACAAGCGGCGGAGCAUGUUGCUUAAUUCGAGGCAACGCGAAGAACCUUACCUGGGUUUGACAUGUAGGGAAAAGCCGUAGAGAUACGGUGUCCUUUUGGGCCUUACACAGGUGGUGCAUGGCGUCGUCAGCUCGUGUCGUGAGAUGUUGGGUUAAGUCCCGCAACGAGCGCAACCCUUGUCCUAUGUUGCCAGCGGGUAAUGCCGGGGACUCGUAGGAGACUGCCGGGGUCAACUCGGAGGAAGGUGGGGACGACGUCAAGUCAUCAUGCCCCUUAUAUCCAGGGCUGCAAACAUGCUACAAUGGCCGGUACAAAGGGCUGCUAUACCGCGAGGUGGAGCGAAUCCCAUAAAGCUGGUCUCAGUUCGGAUUGGAGUCUGCAACUCGACUCCAUGAAGCCGGAGUCGCUAGUAAUCCCGGAUCAGCAACGCCGGGGUGAAUACGUUCCCGGGCCUUGUACACACCGCCCGUCACACCACGAAAGUUGGCAACACCCGAAGCCAGUGGCCCAACCCCUCGGGGAGGGAGCUGUCGAAGGUGGGGUCAGCGAUUGGGGUGAAGUCGUAACAAGGUAAC